CCUACGGGUGGCAGCAGUGGGGAAUAUUGCACAAUGGGGGCAACCCUGACGCAGCAACGCCGCGUGAUUGAAGAAGGCCUUCGGGUUGUAAAGAUCUUGAAUCGGGGACGCAUUUUGACGGUAUCCGAAGAAUAAGCUCCGGGUAACUACGUGCAAGCAGCCGCGGUAAUACGUAGGGAGCAAGCGUUAUGCUGAUUUACUGGGUGUAAAGGGGGGGUAGGCGGGCAUGCAAGCCAGAAGUGAAAUCUGGGGGCUUAACCCCCACACUGCUUUUGAAACUGCGUGUCUUGAGGGAUGGAGAGGGAAGCGGAAUUCCCGGUGUAGCGGUGAAAUGCGUAGAUAUUGGGAGGAACACCAGUGGCGAAGGCGGGCUGCUGGACAUUAACUGACGCUGAGGCGCGAAGGCGUGGGGAGCAAAAAGGAUUAGAUACCCGUGUAGUC
rnacentral:rRNA from 1 species